CUAACUACCUUUUUUUAGCACUUGAUUGCCCUCUCUUUAAAUUAAAACAGAAUUUUCUCUGUAGAACAACAAGAGAAAUAUGUGGAACAGUUGAGGUAGAAGGACAAGCCAGACAGGUGCUGAGAUUUUGGAAAGAAGACAAAAUGGCCAUGCUGCUGCUGAAAUUUCAGAUACAUCCAAAGCGGUUCUCCUGGAUCCAGAUGGCAGCAGAGGAUGGGAAUGAUGGAAGUCCCAGUAGAUGGAAAGCCAUGCAGGGUGCAGAAAAUAUGGAUAUGUGUGCUUUUUCUCAUUUUCUUGCUUACCAGUUAUUUUAAAGUUUAAUGGUCUUCCAAGCCGCCAAAGCCUCCCCAGCUUCCCUCCAGAGAAACACCAGGCGACAGCACACAGCUACGGAGCAGGGUGAUACCCAGGGACCAAGAUGGACAGCAGCAGCUGAGUGUCUCUCUCUACCUCUGGAAAGCGGUGAUAGCCCUUUAUUCUGUGAUGCACUGGUCUCAUUAGCAACAUCACUAACCCAUCUAAUCUGCAAAAUUACAAAAUAUGAUUUCAAAGUGGUCCACCGACCUUCAUCAUGACAGGCAUUCAAUGUCUGACAUUAAGGUCUCUGUGUUACCGUCUUGGAGAUUUCUGCCUCCACCCAAAUAUAAUGGAGGGGAAUGAUAUUUUGUUUGUGGCAGCAGCACUGAAAAAAAUUGACAAAACAUUUAACAGCAACAUGUUCUUCCAGAAACAAUGCCCCAGCUGGAUUAUCCAGACCUCAGUGUCAACUUUUUUCAUUGAAACUACUUUCUACUGAAGAAACAGUCCCUUUGAAAACUGUUGAUGGCUUGUUAGGUGGAUUAGCCUGAGUAACACAGAGACUGUUUCUGAAAAGAGAUUCAUUUUAAAUAAACGUCAUUUUCAUUUACAAUAAUAUCUCAAAACCUAGGCAUAUAAACUCAUAACUAUUUACAUAACUAGAUACCACUCAGUGAAUCAACCUUUCAAACAAAAAAUAAGUUUUGUUGAGUUUAUGAUAGGCAUAAAGGAUUUUUCAGGCUAGGAAACAUUUGGUGCAUUACAUUUCAAUUUCAGACAGGGUAUCACAGACUUGAUGAUUCUAGCAGUCAAAAGAAUGACUUCCCAAUGCCAAGCACACCCGGGGAGGGGGCUACAUGAUGCUUAGUCACUGGAAAAAAUGACUGAUGACCAGUGAGACCAGAACACAGCUGCAGGAUAGACAACCCCAACAUAAACACUGGCAACUGUCAAUCUUGGCCCACCAACACAGAGGACAAAAAAACAAUGAAUUCUAGUGAGGUAAGAGGUCUAAAAUGAAAUCAAUUAGUCAAUCAUAGAAUGCCUUUGCAAGAACAGGAUAGGUUGCUGUUGACAAUCAGGCAGAUUUCCAGACAAAUACAAACAUCUGCACUGACCUUUCUAGCUCUAUAAGAAGCAAGUGAUGUCUUGGUCUAGUUAAUGCUGGUAAGCAGGAGCUGGCUGAUUGUUUGAGCAAUCGAAUGACUCAAAUGACUAUAAUUUUUGUUAUCACAUAUACGCUAAAUAGUCUGUACUAUUACACAUACCUUCAUUAUUCGCAACAUAAAUUAGACCUGUGAAAACAGUAUGUCAAUCAACCGACUCAACUCUCCAGUCACUUCUUUGGGGUGAUUAUAGUGUCUGACACCAUCGCUGAUACAUUACUCAAAAUAAACUGAGGACACACAGGUCUCCUGUCCUGCACUGUGGCAAAUGGACACAAAAUGUACAGUAUGUCAAUGAGUUAUUACGGACAUAAACGUAUUGUAUGUCAGUUAUUGAUAUUUUGUUGACUGGGUAUUAUGUGGGAUGGCUUACUGCUACUAUACUAAAAUGUUUGCUCAAACUGAAUAAUAAAAAAGAUUGGCAUAUGAAGAUUGUUGACUGGUAACUAUUCACAGAUCACAGUGUGAAAAUCGCAGCAGUAAAC